UGAGUUCCCUGUGAGGCCCUGAUGUUGUUUACGAUCACGUGUUGGCCAGGGAUCCUGGCCUCUGGAAACUUCCAUUGGCAACAUUAGCACAGUAGGAGGGUUUGGAGAUCAGUCCACGAAUUUACCACCCAGCGAAAUUAACUGGUUUCUAGUCACACCACUAAUGACAGUUUAGACACAGUCAAAACGGUGAUAAAUGGACCUAGUUGGCCCAAGCUGAUGGAUUCAUAAAUAAAUAUUUAAACCACAGCCUUUCUCUGACAGCAGAGGCAUCAGAGAGCAGAGACGCUAUAAGCAAAGAGUUAAGGAGUCAAGGGCCAUAGAAAACUCUUCCUGACACUUGGUUCAGGCUCAGAGGGCAACUGAGAUGUCCAUCUGGUUAACCAAAGAGGGCUUCCAGGAGGAGGUUCUGGGACUUCAAAGAGCCUCCAACUAGGCUCAGUUGUUCUUCCGUUUUCAUCAUCAUCUCAACAGUCAACUCUCUUAAAGUAUAACACGGUACAAGAUGGGCUCUCAGUCUGCAGGUGAGUGAGUGGAGUCGUUUCCCCAGAUGUUUCACGAUCCCAGGCCUGGUCCCUUUAAGGCAUCGAAACUCAGAACAUUCUAUCAGCUGCCUCGGCCUCCCCGUGGCGCGCUUACGUCACCCUUCGGGGAAGCGGCUGACGUCAGCGCGUUCUUGGCGAGUGGGGCGGGGCCGGUGACUCACCCGGACCGCGCCCCUUGCUCCCCGCCCCCGCCGGGCCGCGCGCACGUGAGCGCGCGCUGCGCGGGUUGCUAAUUUUAGCUCCGGCGGCUUCCCUGGGGUCCCGUGAGGUGAAGGGGAGUGGAGGGGACGAGGCGGGCAAGGAGCGUGGCUCUCCUCGUUCCUUCCUGCCCCGCCGUGGGUUUUCCUCGAGGACCGGGCCCGGCCCGAGGGGUGGGGGCCCGCGGGCGACUCGAGGUGCUGGAACGCGGGCGCUUACCGAGGCGAGAACCUAGGGGGUCUCCCCGCGUGGAAACCCCGCCCCUCCCUCGGCCUUGGACACAGUCGGCGCUCAAUAAAUGAAUCGAAGUUUCUUCCUGGACGGCGACCCUGGGCUUUCGGGAGAAAGCCAGAGGGGCAGGGUUCUGGAAGGUUCCCUGGCGGCUGGGGUGCGGUGCGGGCUGAAAUCCGAGCAGGAGCUGGGCGCGGCCCUCGGGGACCGACUAUGGGGGACGGCGCCGCGGGAGUGGGGCAAGUGCGGGCCUGGACCCUUGGGGCCACCGCGUCAGCAGUCGGCGGGGCCGUGGGAGGGACGGUGCCCGCCCGCUGUGAAGGGCGGUGGCCCUUCUAGGGUCAGGCCAAGCGCAGAGGCCUGAAGGUCACCGGGUGAGGAGCCAGCGCGGGUGCCUCAGAAGCCAAGCGCCCCGUCCCGAGCCCUGCGCGAACCAGUAUGACCUUCCAGGAACCAGAUGAGAGCUGCGUUUUCAAGAAGCAGUGCCAGACACCUUGGGAAAUCGACACUCUCCUGUCCUUGGGUGGGGGUGGGGGUCCUGGAAAGAAGCUCCGUCAGCGUAAAGUGAACUCUUAGCUUUGACUUUGCAGAGGGAUCCGUUGUGUCACAGUGACCCGCAUUCCUGUCAUUGGUGUGGUGUGUUUCACAGCCAUUGCCUCCCUAGGUAGAUUGUAAAACGGCGUUCGUAGAGCCUUUGACCUCAUAAUAUUAUGUUGGAAAUUACACGAUAGUAAACAUAAUGAUAAAUGGGGAAUGUUAAAUGGUAGUAUGGGAACAUUUUCUAAUGGUUGCAUCCUUAAAAUUUUCUGUUUCAAGUUUUUAAAGGCUAUAGCCUUAAAAAAAGCUGACUGUAGGAAAAUGGUGGAAAGAGUCGUGGAAUAAAGGUAGCUUUGGGGAUUAUGACGUGAAUAAAUGACAGAAAUUAGUAUGUGUCAUUUUCCUUUGUUUUCCAAAAA
rnacentral:lncRNA from 1 species